rnacentral:rRNA from 1 species
GAGCUGCACUGCGGCAGGUCAUUGCUCGAGUACCCGUAUGCUGAGACAGAUCAUGCGAACUAGUAAA